AAGUUGGAGACCUUUAAGUUUCAACACCAAGGAUGGUUAAGGAAGAAGAUGAGUGACCAUGGAAGAAUUAAAUUCCCCCAUGGUGGCCGGCCUCCUAGAGAGAAAAAGGAGAGCUUUUGUUCUCUCCAAUUUCCUCAAGAAAACCCUAAUGAAGAAAAAGCUAUAAAGUCACAUUUAUACCUACCUUCAAUGGAGUGGCAAACUUGUAAUAAGUCCAAAAUCCACUCCCUCUCUAAGCAUGGCCGACCUCCCUAUUUUUAGUGGGUUAAUUGCCCAUUUUGUUUUAGUUGUCACACAUCUUAAACCUUAUGUGCAUUGUGGACCAAAACCCUUUAUGUGUCCCGAAACCCAAAACUAACUCAAGGCCUAAAACGAACCUUUCGUUCUAGAUUAAUUAACUUUCAAUUAAUCUUUGCCAUAUACAAUUAAAACUAUUUAAUUGUCCUUACUCAUCUUCGUUAUAUCCUUCAAUCAUUACCUUACACAAUGUGCGAUCCAUUAAGUUCUUUUUACCGAAGCAGUGGGCGAUUAGAACUCUUCAAAUCGAUUGUGAAUUGAAACUUACUUUCAAUUCUCCCUUUAGUUAUUAUACACCUUUAUGGCUUCCACAUACCAUGAGUGACACCUAGUAGUAUGUCAUGGCUACCCAAGCUAAUCAGAAGAGGUGGGGAACCUAUUUAGUUUAGGAUUCCAAUGCAAUACGGUUUUUCUCUAAUACAAUACUCUUGACCACAUUGUUUGGUUUGAUAGUUUAUUCAUGUCUACUAUCCAAUGUGAUUCAUUUACUUAUAUGAUUACCUUGAAUGUGAUUUAGAACGGCUUCUUAAAUCUCAUUCAUACUCUGGCUAGAGAUUCUUAUUCAUAUCAUAGAGUAUUCUCCCUCAAACAGUUCGAAGGUUAGAGAUCCCUUGUUGCGCAUUCACUUGACUUCAUGGCUAAGUGGCUUAACCCAACCAUGCUGUGGACACCUUUUGACUGAGCAACUUUGGCAUAGUCAAAGAUCAAAGGCUUAACCACAAGACAACUAUGAUGUCUCAGGUCAAAGGACUACUUUGCAUUAUCCCAACCAUGAGUUCUCAUGUGACAUGAGUAUGAGAACUCCUUGUUGAUCCCGUUCAGUUGACUCAUUCUCUAUUGAGCACCUAUACACUUGUCUUGGUGUCAGUCACACCAAUGACUCGAGACUAGUCACUCUCCCUAAGAGAAGACAUAGCACGUACUGAUCUUAAUGGACUGUCAAUGCCCAAUUGGCAAUCCUAUGAUAAGGAACGUUUAGGAUAUGUAUACGAAAGAGAAUGGUCUCAUGAAUCUAACUUCUUUAGAUUACAUUCUCCCAAUUACAUAUUUCUUGGACUUAUUGUUUGAGCAUAUAACAUUUAUAUGAGACGGCUUUAAACAAUAAUCUUUGCCCUGCAUAUUAAACUAGAUUAGUUUAACAUGUGAAAUGUUCGUAAAGUAUCAUCAUAUGAUUGGCUUUAGGGCACAUUUCCAACACAUGUUUGUCUAUUGCCCGUAUUAGUUCCUCUACUAUUUCUCAUAACAAUAUUUCUUUCAAGCUUAAUGAUGUGCUUCAUUACCCAGAUGCUUCUAUGUCGAUGUUAUCUGCUAAUCAUUUUAUGCUAGAUAAUAAUUGUUUUAUUACAUUAUUUCUGAAUUGUUUCUAUAUACAUGAUAUGGGGACAGGGACGAUUCUCUUUUCGGGCAAGAGCAAGAACAACUUCUACCCAUUUUCAUCUUCAUCACCUUUAUCUCAUGGUCAUGCUAUGUUUCUUAGUGUUUGUGUUGGUAGUGAUGUUUGGCAUUCUCUUCUAAGACAUCCUUUUUCUCAAUCUUUGCUAUUUCUUUUUUCUCGUCUUAAGAAUAAAUUGCCCGUUUCUGGCAAACCUAAUAUUAAUAAAUUUAUGUGUCAUUCUUGCCCAUUGGGCAAAAGUAUUAAGUUGCUUUUUUCUGCUUCUACUUAUGUACCUCUUCUCGGCUUGAACUUAUUCACUAUGAUGUUUAGAGUGCUCCUAACAAUUAUGUUAAAGGUUUUAAAUGUUAUGUGCUCUUUGUUGAUAAUUUCUCACACUACUCUUAGAUUUAUCCUAUGAAAUUAAAAUAUGAUGUAUUUCAACUUUUUAUUCAAUUUAAGGCUUUAGUUGAAAACCAAUUCUCCACAAAACUUAAAAUGUUUCAAUCGGAUGAUGGGGGUGAAUACACUAGUCAUCAAUUUCAAGAUUUUUUGACUAAACAUGGCUUCCAUCACCGCAUUUCUUGUCCCCACCAUCCUGAACAAAAAGGUUUGGUGGAAAGCAAACACCUCACAUUGUUGAUACUAGGCUAACUUUUAGGAUUUCAAGAUUUUUUUAACUAAACAUGGCUUCCAUCACCGUGUUUCUUGUCCCCACCAUCCCGAACAAAAAGGUUUGGCAGAACAUAAACACCUCACAUUGUCGAUACUAGGCUAGUAACACGGUAAUGGAAGCCAUGUUUAGUUAAAAAAAUCCUGAAAUCCUGAAAGUUAGCCUAAGCACCCAUUCUGCUUAAUGUCAUGUCUGCUGCUUCGCCUCUUUCUUCCCAACUCUCUGCAGCCCAGCGCACUCAUCCUAUGGUCACUCGAUCCUAGAAAAAUUACAGGCCUGAUAUGCUUUAUGUCUCCAUCGCAUCCCUUAUUGAGCCUACAUGCUUCACACAGGCUAACAAAAAUCUAGAAUAGCGUCACGCAAUGGCCGAUGAAUUUAAUGCUCUCUAGUGUACCUACAUUUGGGUUUUGGUUCCUCGCAGUGCGUCAAUGAAAAUUGUUCACAACAAAUGGGUUUUGCAUCAAACGUAACUCUGAUGGUUCCUUGUCUGAGGAGGUUUAUAUGCAAUAACCCCGUGGUUUUGUGGAUCCCCAAUUCCCUCACCAUGUUUGUCAACUAUGUCGUUGUCUCUAUAGGUUUAAGCAAGUGCCUCAAACUUGGUAUUACUAUUUUUCUACACAUUUGGAGGAAUUGGGUUUUCGUCAGUCUAUUGUGGACACUUCCCAUUUUACUUACAUUCAUUGGACUAUCUGUAUUUAUUUGUUAAUAUACGUCGACGAUAUAGGUAAUAAUCUAGCUCCUAUUGUCACACUUAAUAAGGAUUUAGGCACCUACUUCUUUAUGAAAGACUUUGGUCCGGUCCACUAUUUUUUUGGUAUGGAAGUUGUUCAAACCCUCCCCCCUUAGGAUUUCUCUCUCCCAGCACAAGUAUACUAUGGAUCUUCUUCAACACACCAAGAUAUAGGGUGCAAAAUUCGUUCCUACACCAGCUGUUGGUGGUCAAAUGCUCAACCUCCAUGACGGUGACCCUUUGCCUGAUCCCAUAGAAUACUGGAGUGUCAUUGAAGCUUUACAAUAUUUGACUCUCACCCUUUCCGAUAUCAAUUUUGCAGUCAAUCAAGUAUGCCAAUUUCUUCACCAACAGACUGCCAUUGAUUAGGUUGCUGUAAAACGGAUUCUACAUUACCUUGUUGGCGCUCCUCAUCAUGGAAUCACCUAUAAGCCUGUGUUCUGGAGUGCAAAGAAGUAAAAUAGGGUCUUUCGGUCAAGGACUAAGGCUAAGUAUCGACAACUUGCUCUCACCGCUAAAACUGUCUUCUGGUUCCGUAUGUUAUUUCAUGAUCUUCAAUUACCCCUUAACUGCCCCACCUUGUUUUGCGAUAUAUAAUAUUAGUGCCAUUUCCCUUACUUUUAACCUUGUCUUUCAUUCUCACACUCAACAUGUUGAAGUGGCUUACCACUAUGUUCGUGAAAAGGUUGUUUGUAAAGAGCUUGUAGUCCCUUUAUGUUUCUACACAUGUCUAAAUAGCUGAUAUUUUCACUAAGGCUCUCUAGCUUACUCGCUUCCACUUACUUGUCUCCAAGCUUCCUGUUUAUGAUUGUACUAUUAGCUUGCAGAGGUGUGAUAGCCAAUAAUUACCUGAUUUUGUGUGAUUCUUCAGUGAUUUCCCUUUCCUGAUUUCCUAUGAUCUUUAUGUGAUUUCCUGUACAAAUCAUAUCUCUUAGAUACCUUCCUUUUAUGUAUAUCUUGUAUGAAAAGUAAACUUGUAAAUCAAGGCCUUGUUGUCAGCCUAUAUAACGAAUGAGAAUCUGAACCUUAAAUCAUUGAGAAAUUUAGCCACAUGCCUGUUAUACUAUUCAGUUUGCAUUUCCUUCAUCAUUUUCAUUUGAUUUUGAGUCUGGCGUACUGUUGUCUUGGGGGUCAAGAUCUAGGUCAAAUUCAUUAUAACUUGCCUAUUGACCCCCUUGCUAUGAUUGCUAUACUGACUUAUCUAUGCGAGUGAUAGAGCUUCAUUCUUCUUUCCUGAUCAUGUUCAUGCUCUUGAUAGCGCAUCAAUUCACUGCAGAUUGAUAGGACGACCCUUAUCUUGUGUAACCAAUUUCGGCCAAGGAUGGCGUUGUGGGGACUUGUGCAAUCCAUUAUGUGGAAAGUCCCGAGGUGGUUAUAGGACUCUGCUUAGACCGAUUGCUUCACCGUUUCCAGGGAUCGCACCGGUGCCCCAUUGAAGGUGUGGAAGGUUAUCUUUCCUUGUUGAUGCUGUCGAGAAUUCUCAUCUUUUCAAUUGUGUCUUUGAAUAGGACAUUGACCCUUAAGCUGUUAUCAACCAGGAUACGGUUUACCAGGGCAUUAGAGAUUCGAACCUUGACAGCGAAGGCAAGGGGUGAAUGGCCGUCUUCCCGAAUCACGAUAUGAAAACAUCAGGAUGUUAGAGUCAAUCGCUAAUGGUUUGUUAACAACAUCCACCAUUCUUGGUUUCUUGCAGGCCGUUUUUCUUUCUUUUCAAGUGUUCUAGAUAUUCUUGCUCGUCGUAUAUACAGUUCACCUUAAAGGACACUUCUUCCCUUGAACACUGCAUAUGGUGGAGACCCAAAAGCCUUUUGGAUUUUCUAGGAUGUUUCUUUAGAAUAAGGUGUUGAGACGAUUGUUCUGAUGCCAAAUCUCACCUCCGUCUUUUGGGUAGCUAAUUAUCCAUCUUUUGUUUAACUAUAGGGCUCCGCUAUCAUUUAAGAGCUUCAAAGUAAGGCCAAAGAUCAUAUUCAUAGCUCUUCUAUCUUCCAGUGAGAGACAUUCUCACCAUAGUCCGAGUUCUAGUUUUCAUUUCAGGUUUCCUACAUUGCCAUCGACCUUGCUAUGGCCAGGGUUAGUGGCAACCCCUUAUGUUUCUGCUUUUUUAUUUCUUUUCCUUACUAUCGUUUGCAAUAAGCCCAACCUCCUUUUCCCGAUUUACCCCUUCUUGCAACUGAUUCCACCAUCUUGAUCCCUGUAUGGAGAUUGUCCUUUUUCUCUACCAUCAUCACCAUUUGGCUUCAUUAUUUUUCAACUAAUUCUCAAUUUGAUUUGCCUACCUUUUCUUGCAAUUUUUCGUUUUUAAACAGGGGUGUGUAGAAUUUUGGCUCAAGUGUUCACACCACCACCCUUAUUGAUCUUUGUUGGUCCUUCUCAGUAUUUAAAUUUUGAUUUUCUUGUUGCUAUUUCUUUUGAAGGGUCUUAUUGCUAUAAUAUCUUAUUUAAUGUUGACUUGUAUCCCAUUGAUUUUGAGAUAAAUGUUGGUAGCUACAAUACAAUUAUGUAUUUAAUACAGUUGUCAAAUUUGAUCUUCUAAUAUAUACUAUAUGAAUUAUAUAUGAAAGUUAGGAGAAAAACUUAUGUGGGGCUUAACUUACCACUGGACCAUGCUGAGUGACACUACAUACAACUCAUAACUUGCCAUGUGUUAAACAUUAAAUAUGAUUUCUUAUUUUUCGUUUUAUGUCAAAAUAAAAUUAAAAAGUUAAAGCAUUAUUUCUUCAAGAAACUAAAAUUGCUAAAAUAAAACUCACAAACCCCAGUUGGUUCAUCUGCAAACCCGCCCAUAGACUCUUCUCUCUCGUCGGUCGGUGUCCCUAAUUGUUAGGAUGCCAGAUGGCAUCAUCUUGUGGUGAUAGUUAGAGAUACCAAGAUUCGACAAUUCGUCAAAAGGGACGCAUACAGAUACCAAGAUUCGUGAAGGGUUGAACCCUAAUCUUGGCCCCAAUUUCGGGCGUCCUGAUUCUUGUCGUAAUUCCCAUCCGCCGUUCAUCAAAAUGGCGUCUCAUAUCUCUGUUUUGAAAUCGGAUGAAAUCGUUCUCAACCAUCAAUCCUUCCACAACGAAAAGAUUCAGGCCCGUGAGAAAGUUGAUGAAUUCUUGUCUCAGUACCGUCCAAAAUACAAGCCCAAAAGUCCUCCUUGUUUGCACCCAACAUUGAAGAAAUUUAAGAGGGUUCGCGACUACGCCAAAUACCACGAAGAUGGUUCUGCAAGGUUUCGUUCCAAUUCCAAAUUUCAAGUAAGUUUUGGGGUUUUUCGAAGUGAUUUGGCUGGGAAGAAUGAAAAGGUUUUCGAUUUACUCGACAAGAAAGUUGAAGAUUCUGUGAUCAUUUCUCCAGUUCUUGAUUCUGAUUGCAUGAAAUCCAAGAUUCAAGCUUGCGUUCUGGGUUCUUCAGUUCCUAACGGAUUGGUUGCUGCAUUUAGAGAUAAAUUCGAUCAAUUCAGGACGUCGCCUUUGUCGAAUCGUGAAUCUAAUUGCAAGAACGACUUGGCCCAAGAAUUCAUUUUCAUAAUUUCAGUAUCAGAUGAUGGGUUGGUGAAACUUGAUUCACUUGCACUCCAAGUGUUUGAUGAAAGGUCACACUCAGCAGAUUGUGAUUUUCAGUUGGGCUAUCACAUGCCGAUUUCUGACACCGAAGUUACACUUCGUAGGUUCUUUACUUCGAAUGUUCAAAUUAAAGAUGCUCAUAGUUCUAAAUUUCUUGUUUGUAAUGGUGAAGUCAUGAAAAAUGGUACGAUUGUGCAUUUGAAGCUUGGUUUCCAUGAGUUAAUUCUUGACAAAGGUGGAACAACUAUUCAAAUGCUCCUUAAUUCGAAAUCUACUGGAAAAGUUGAAGCCAUUUUGGUGCACGAAAAUGCUUCUGCUCAACUGUUUGAUGCACUGCAGCCUUUAGGUGGGUUUUAUAAUGAUGCAAUUGUUUCUGUUAGAUUUCAGUUCACCUACCAUAAAGGAAUUCGUGAUAAAGGUGGAACUAUAUUUAUCUCUGAAUUCAAUUCAAUGGAAUUCUUAGCAAUCUGUGAGUUGGGUUUCGUUCUUAAUGCGAAAAAGAGGAGUUUUUUGGUGGAAGCUGACCCCUUGAUUGUACCUGUUGAGACGACUUUUCUUGCUUUCAAUCUGUUUGAUAAAAUGUGGUUCUCAAGUUGUAUUGUUCUCAAUUGCGACAUGCGCUACUGGAAGGGCAUUCGGGAUAAGGUGGAGGCUCCAAAUUCAGUAAGAAGGAUGCUGAGCAGAGGAAGUUGGAUGUAGCUUUCAUUGGUGCAAGGUACAUGCUAUAGCUGGGAAAUGGGUGUAGUGUUUCGGUGGCAAAUGAUUUGAUCAUACAAGUUGGAGACUCCAACUUUUACUUGCACAAGCUUCCGAUGGUCAUGAGAGGGGUUAUUUGUUUGAUAUUGCUCUCCAUAUGUGAAAAUUGGAUUAUGAGAAAUAAGGGUCGCAUUAAUGAUUGUAAGGAAACAGGCUAUUUGAAAAUUCAUAGGGAAGUUGACUCAGAAUGUGGGGAAGCAAAGGAAUUAAGAUUUCUCCAUGGUCAAUACCAUUGCUCAUCUUUUUGGGAGGGUGAAAAAAGAGUUGGUGAACGUCUCAUUCUUCAAGAUGGUUGUAUUAAUUUCUUCCAGAAAAUUGUCAAGAGUGAAAACUUGAAUGCAAAUGUUCAUGUUCUUUCAUACUGUUGGUGUGGUGAUCUCAUAAGGUCAGCCUUUUCAUCAGGGGGUUUAACCGAGCUGGAUGUGCGUGCAAAUGAGUUUACUUUUAAGGAAUCCAUCUCCACAGGUAAUAUUGUUAAGAAGGUGGAGUCUCCUAUUGACAAGGUUCAAUCUUUCAAAGAAAAUUUGAAAAAUUGCAGCAAUGACAAAAAGAACUUGACCGUUUAUAUUGGAGACUCGGUGGGUGAUUUACUCUGUCUGCUGGAGGCAGAUAUUGGAAUCGUAAUUGGGUCAAGUUCAAGCCUUAGGAGAAUGGCGGAACAUUUCCAAAGAUGAUGCUACAUGAGGACUAUACCAUGAACUGAAGUUUAAGUUCCAGAAAUUGUGAACCUUUAAUACAUUCUUGUGAUUUUGUUGUUUCUGGUUUUAUUGCUGGUUUUCGAUUGUACUUGGUUCGAAAUUGUAAAUCUUACUUGUAAGAUUGGUUUUAAGGGGGGGUAUUGGUGAUAGUUAGAGUUGAGUAUUAGCAUAAAUAGUACAUUGUAAGAGAAGAAAGGCCGUUAAUGAAAUGAUAUUGUUGUUCUAUUACUAUCUCUCUGUGCAAUUGUAGAAGAUGUCGAGCUAGGUUCUAACACUAAUGCCGUCGAUUCUUCUCCCUUACUACUCAACCUCCCCUUCCCUGAUUCCCACAUCUCUCAUCUUUCUCUCCCAUGAUUGCUUAUAACUAAUUCAAUUUCACAUCAAUAGGCCAUAGUAUUUGAAAACUGGAACUACUAACAACUGGUGAAGGAAGGUGGCUUUGGUAAUUGGGUUCUUCACCAGAAUUUAUGUGUCCAUAAUAAUUAUUCGAUAAGUUAUAAAAAUACUGAGGUUAGUCAAAAACCUAAUUCAUUUCAGAUGGAUUAAUGAACCUUGGAACCAGUAAUUACACAAAUUCUACACAAUAUCCCAGCAACCAUGCAAGGCCGUGAGAGAGAUAACCUUGCGAUUAUGAUGUCCCUCAAAGUCAGGCCUUUUAAAAAAUUUCUUUUUCCAUAUAGUUUUUUAUAUUAAGUUUAUUAAUUAUGAUAUAAAUUGAAAAUAAGAAAUUAUAUUAAUGCAACAAUGCUUAACACACGGCAUGUUAUGAAUGGUAUGGUAGUGCCACUCAGCAUGAUC
rnacentral:lncRNA from 1 species